CAGCCGCCGCGGGAAUACGUAGGGCGCAAGCGUUAUCCGGAAUUAUUGGGCGUAAAGAGCUCGUAGGCGGUUUGUCGCGUCUGCCGUGAAAGUCCGGGGCUCAACCCCGGAUCUGCGGUGGGUACGGGCAGACUAGAGUGAUGUAGGGGAGACUGGAAUUCCUGGUGUAGCGGUGAAAUGCGCAGAUAUCAGGAGGAACACCGAUGGCGAAGGCAGGUCUCUGGGCAUUAACUGACGCUGAGGAGCGAAAGCAUGGGGAGCGAACAGGAUUAGAUACCCCUGUAGUCCCUGUCUCUUAUAA
rnacentral:rRNA from 1 species